GUAUUAUUCAGAAGUUUGUUUUUUAUCGUUGUUGUAAUCCUAAAAUCCUCUACAGUGGAAGUUCUUAGUCGAGCUCUGCUGAGGAUUGUUUGAUCUAAUCAUUCGACAUAUCUUGAUCCAUACUUGUGUUAUUUAUUUCUUUUUCAUUCAUUGUAUUACCUGUUAAGAAGAUCUAAUCGAUCAUUAAGUUUGUUAAUAACUUAUCAAUUGGUAUCAGAGCAGGAGGCUGUGUAAUUCAUACACAUCUUUUCUGUGAAAAAGGUUGCAAUUAGGGUUAUUCCUCAUUAACUAAUAUUUAUUGAGCCGUCAUCUCNAUUACCUGUUAAGAAGAUCUAAUCGAUCAUUAAGUUUGUUAAUAACUUAUCAAUUGGUAUCAGAGCAGGAGGCUGUGUAAUUCAUACACAUCUUUUCUGUGAAAAAGGUUGCAAUUAGGGUUAUUCCUCAUUAACUAAUAUUUAUUGAGCCGUCAUCUCAUAAUUGACGUAACUCAGCAUUUAUUUUUGUUGCCCUAAUUUAAUAUAUUACAAGUCUGAUCUUUUCAAACAGGUUAUACGAUCAAGCAUGGACGAGUCACAAUCAAAUUCCAUAAACAUCUCAAACAACAUUGGAUCAAUGACGAAAAUUCCAAUCCUUUAUACCCAGGAUUACGAAGUCUGGGCACAUCACUUCGAAGAUUAUGUCAUUGGAUCUGAAGACAAUGGAUAUCUUAUUUGGGAAGGAAUCGUGUCUGGACCAUUCGCUCAUUCAGCAACGUCAAAAAUCAUUAAAACUCAAAAAGAGUAUAAUGAUCUGUUGAAGGACGUAAAAGAUAUUGCUUAGGAUGAAAAGGAUAAAUUUCAGUGCAACAUUAAAGC
rnacentral:lncRNA from 1 species